rnacentral:rRNA from 1 species
UACAGGGGGUGCAAGCGUUGUUCGGAAUUACUGGGCGUAAAGGGCGCGUAGGCGGCCAGAUAAGUCAGAUGUGAAAUCCCGGGGCUCAACUCCGGACGUGCAUUUGAAACUAUUUGGCUAGAGUACAGUAGAGGUUGGUGGAAUUCCCAGUGUAGAGGUGAAAUUCGUAGAUAUUGGGAGGAACACCGGUGGCGAAGGCGGCCAACUGGGCUGUAACUGACGCUGAGGCGCGAAAGCGUGGGUAGCAAACAGG